AUUGUAUUGGAGUAAUUCAGCUAAGUUACACGUUUUCAGUAAAUAGAUAACUCAGUUAAGAUAAAAGCCGCUUUUUAAAUUACCCAUUACUAUACACUCAUAAUCGUAUGUUUUCUAAUAUUUAGAUUUGUAUAGGCUUACUAUGUACAAGACCCGCGUGAGUAUAGCUCUGCUUAUUACUACACAUAGGUUGCAUGCCUGUCUUAAGUAAUAGAUAAUGAUAUUCA